rnacentral:rRNA from 1 species
AGUGAACGCUGGCGGUAGGCCUAACACAUGCAAGUCGAACGGCGGCACAGUAAGAGCUUGCUCUUACGGGUGGCGAGUGGCGGACGGGUGAGGAGUACAUCGGAAUCUACUUUUUCGUGGGGGAUAACGUAGGGAAACUUACGCUAAUACCGCAUACGACCUACGGGUGAAAGCAGGGGAUCUUCGGACCUUGCGCGAUUGAAUGAGCCGAUGUCGGAUUAGCUAGUUGGCGGGGUAAAGGCCCACCAAGGCGACGAUCCGUAGCUGGUCUGAGAGGAUGAUCAGCCACACUGGAACUGAGACACGGUCCAGACUCCUACGGGAGGCAGCGGUGGGGAAUAUUGGACAAUGGGCGCAAGCCUGAUCCAGCCAUACCGCGUGGGUGAAGAAGGCCUUCGGGUUGUAAAGCCCUUUUGUUGGGAAAGAAAAGCAGCAGGUUAAUACCCCGCUGUUCUGACGGUACCCAAAGAAUAAGCACCGGCUAACUUCGUG